rnacentral:misc_RNA from 1 species
AAAGUCGUAACAAGGUAACCGUAGGUGAACCUGCGGUUGGAUCAUUUCCGAAAUUUGCCAGGUCUCAGGACCGGCAGAACCACACCUGUGAACCUAAAUCUUACCUGCUCAAGUUGACUGAACCUAACCCUCCAUCCUCGAUGGAAACAAAACAAAAACAACUUUCGACAACGGAUCUCUUGGUUCUC